rnacentral:rRNA from 1 species
AUUGAACGCUGGCGGCAGGCCUAACACAUGCAAGUCGAACGAGUGGCGGACGGGUGAGUAAUGUCUGGGAAACUGCCUGAUGGAGGGGGAUCACUACUGGAAACGGUAGCUAAUACCGCCUACCCUCAGAUGUACCCAGAUGUGAUUAGCUUGUUGGUGGGGUAACGGCUCACCAGGGCGAUGAUACCUAGCUGGUCUGAGAGGAUGACCAGAAAAACUGGAACGGAGACACGGUCCAGACUCCUACGGAGGGCAGCAGUGGGGAAUAUUGGACAAGGGGCGAAAGCCUGAUGCAGCCAUGCGGGGUGUAUGAAGAAGGCCUUAGGGUGGUAAAUUACUUUCAGCGGGGAGGCGUUACCCGCAGAAGAAGCAACGGCUAACUCCGUGCCAGCAGCCGCGGUAAUAC